CUUCAUGGUUAGGUCAUUGCAUCAACUUGUCAUUAAAGCAUUGCAAUAACUCAUAUAAGGGCUCACCACUAAGUUAAUAAAAAUUUGUGAUUUCAUCUCUUAGAUG
rfam:Capsicum annuum cultivar Zunla-1 chromosome 3, whole genome shotgun sequence